AGGAAAUAGAACUUUAUUGGAUAUACUGCAAUGGAGCAAAGGGCAGGAUGUGCCUUCCUACCUCAUCUAACUACAAAUCCCUUUUGGAAACCAAGAGAGUCAUUUGCUUUCCUAGAUGGAGUCAGACUUCCAUAGCACUCAAAUCCCCUCUGGACUCCAUCUCUGACAUCAGCAGCUAUACAACCCAGAAAUCUUCACAAUAUUCAACCAUAUUUUGCUGUUGUUACCAUUGUUGGAUCAGAAAAUAGGCCAAGAAAUGAAGAAAUGUUUCCCAGGAAUAUGAAUAGAGUUAUUCAUAAAGAUAGCUGUUUAGAAUAUGGAUCAUUGGGAUCCCUGGGUGGCGCAGCGGUUUAGCGCCUGCCUUUGGCCCAGGGCGCAAUCCUGGAGACCCGGGAUCGAAUCCCACGUCGGGCUCCCGGUGCAUGGAGCCUGCUUCUCCC